rnacentral:tRNA from 1 species
CGGGGCGUAGCGCAGCCUGGUAGCGCGUCUGCUUUGGGAGCAGGAUGUCGGAGGUUCGAAUCCUCUCGCCCCGACCA